UGCAGAGGUGGGCACAUGUGUAGCUUAUUAACUAAUAAGUGAUGACCACAGAGAAGAAACAGGUUUUGCACCAAGCCUCCCUGGUGUUCAGUGAAAUCAGCUUUUCAGGUUUGAGUAGGGAAGAGGACUAUUGUUAAGGUCUUUUUUUCCCCUGCUUUUUUGAGCUGCGGAUGAAGAAAGCCUGUGUGAGCCAGUCCUGGAGCCUAAAACUAUUAUGCCCAUUGCACCUCAUCCUCCCACUGGGCACCACUGAGUAGAGUCUGGCUCCAUCCAUGUUUACACCCUCCCAUCAGUGACUAAGCAUGUAAUUUGAAUCAACUGUGGGAGAAGAGAGGAUUGAAGUUCAAGGAGUAUCUUGAAGAGAUCUAGUUGAUGAGAAUGAAACUGACGCUGAAUACUUGAUGUCCAGAGAUAGCUGUUCUUCAAGACACAGUUGAUUUCAACAAGGAUGGUACUAGCUGACGCCUUCAAUCACCCCUUGAAAGGACAGACAGGGUAAGCUCCUAACUGAAAGAGAACUCCGCAGUUCUUCCUGAAUGUCAGAAAGAAGAUUGGUGUGUGGAAGAUCACGUCCUUAAUGCAUUAGACAAAACUACAACACAGCAAAAUCUAGGUCUGGAUUAUGUGCAAAUCAGUUUCCCAAUAAAAAGGUAAAAAAGGAAAGCUUAUCAAGCCCAGAUAAAGCAUGGAGCGUAUAGUAAGGCAAACAACUAAGGCAAGAUCCUGACUAAAGUGACAGAGAAAGCACACAGAGUGGUUGCAGUAGUAGAUUUGCAAUCCAGCUGGGAACUUGGGUUUUUGUCAAGUAUCAGAAAGCAGAGUCAGAGGAAAAAAUGUUAAAAAAUGAUACCUAAAAGUCUUUAGGAAACACCGAGCAUGAAAUGUAAUGGCUGCUUUGAAUAAGUAGUUAAGAUUCCUGAACAUGGAAACAAAGAACAACCACUCAACACUCCCCCCCCCGCCCCCAAAAUCUCAGAGAACAGGAGAAAUCAUCUCCAUAAGAGCAUAGACUUGGAGGAGGAACACAACUGGACAGUUUUGCUGUCUCCAAGCAAAACUGUUUUAGGCAAAUAAGAAUCUGGGAGGAGAGUAGAGUCAGUUGUCUGACUAUACCAGUCAAGUCCAUUUUCUAUACAUCUGUAGUUGAUACCAGAUCAGAAUUCAAGCAGCAUGACUUAAUAAAGUAUAGCUUUAGGAAUAUCACUACUAUUCUUAAUCUACAUUUAUCAUACAGUUCUCCACUAAUGCAUUUAAGCAUGUACUCUAAGAAGAAAUAGUGAAGAAUUAAUCCUAUGGCUUUAUAAGCCUACCAUCCCAAGUGAUUAUUAGUAAAAGUAAAUUGGGCAUAAUUUUUUUGGUUUUUUUAGGAAAAAAAAAAUUAAGUAUUUGGGUUGGUCAUUAUUUCCUUUCCCCUUUUAGCAUGCUUUCACAUGUUAUGAUACAAGGCAUAAGCAGAAUGCUUAAUUUGUACUCAUCUAUCUGAUCUAUCUAUCCUUUUUCUUACAACUGUAUCUAUCUUACACUAGGAUGUAUACAGUGAUACAUAAGAAAAAAAAUCUUUCCUUUGAACUUGUGACCCUUCUUAAGACCCUCAAUUAAUGCUGAACAGAAUAAUCUCUCUUAAAAUUUAGUCAUUAUUUUGCAUUAUUAUUUAGUCAUUAUUACUUAUUUUACUUAAAGCACACUGCUUGUUUUACUUUAAAAAAAAAAAAUACCUGAGGAAGAUACAUCUAUGUACAGCAACACCUCUCAAACAAGAUUUGUCCAUAUUGUAUUGUGACCACUGCAUAUGCCUUCAUGGUUGUAUUAUGUGACUAAAGGGGACUGGAAUAAGGUCACUGCCUUACUGGUUGAGUACUGUGUUGUUGUGGUUUAAUCCCAGCCAGCAGCUAAGCACCACACUGCUACUCACUCACUUCCCCCCCACCCAGUGGGAUGGGGGAGAGA